GACGAACGCUGGCGGCGUGCUUAACACAUGCAAGUCGAACGGAAAGGCCCUGCUUUUGUGGGGUGCUCGAGUGGCGAACGGGUGAGUAACACGUGAGUAACCUGCCCUUGACUUUGGGAUAACUUCAGGAAACUGGGGCCAAUACCGGAUAGGAGCUCCUGCUGCAUGGUGGGGGUUGGAAAGUUUCGGCGGUUGGGGAUGGACUCGCGGCUUAUCAGCUUGUUGGUGGGGUAGUGGCUUACCAAGGCUUUGACGGGUAGCCGGCCUGAGAGGGUGACCGGCCACAUUGGGACUGAGAUACGGCCCAGACUCCUACGGGAGGCAGCAGUGGGGAAUAUUGCACAAUGGGCGGAAGCCUGAUGCAGCAACGCCGCGUGCGGGAUGACGGCCUUCGGGUUGUAAACCGCUUUCGCCUGUGGCGAAGCGUGAGUGACGGUAAUGGGUAAAGAAGCACCGGCUAACUACGUG
rnacentral:rRNA from 1 species